AACGAACGCUGGCGGCGUGCCUAACACAUGCAAGUCGAACGAGAAAGGGGCUUCGGCUCCGAGUAAAGUGGCGCACGGGUGAGUAACACGUGGGUAACCUGCCUCUAAGAUUGGGAUAACUCGUCGAAAGAUGAGCUAAUACCGAAUAAGACCACAGUUCCCGCGGGAACAGGGGUCAAAGGUAGCCUCUGCUUGCAAGCUAUCACUUAGAGAUGGGCCUGCGCACCAUUAGCUAGUUGGUAGGGUAACGGCCUACCAAGGCAAAGAUGGUUAGCUGGUCUGAGAGGAUGAUCAGCCACACUGGCACUGAGACACGGUCCAGACUCCUACGGGAGGCAGCAGUGGGGAAUAUUGCGCAAUGGGCGAAAGCUUGACGCAGCAACGCCGCGUGAGUGAUGAAGGCCUUCGGGUCGUAAAGCUCUGUCGGGAGGAACGAAUGCUCCUGAGGUUAACAGCCUCGGGAGGUGACGGUACCUUCAAAGGAAGCACCGGCUAACUCUGUG
rnacentral:rRNA from 1 species